rnacentral:misc_RNA from 1 species
AGAUACCCCAAUAUGCCUAGCCGUAAAAAAUUAAAUUACACCCACACACGCCAGGAUAUUACGAGCUCAAGCUUAAAAUCCAAAGGACUUGACGGUGUUCCACCCAUCUAGAGGAGCCUGUUCUUUAAUCGAUACUCCCCGCUUUACCUCACCAUUUCUUGCUUCUUCAGCCUGUAUACCUCCGUCGCAAACUUGCCCUAUGAAUGACACACAGCAAGUUCAAUGGCCCCCACCAAUACGUCAGGUCAAGGUGCAGCCCAUGAAAUGGGAAGCAAUGGGCUACAAUUUCUAACUUAGAACACACGAACUAUCACUUGAAACAGUGAUCAUGAAGGUGGAUUUAGUAGUAAAGAGAAAUUAUAGCGUUCUCUUUAAUUAGGCCCUGGAACGUGUACAAACCGCCCGUCACCCUCUUCGAUAGCAUAUUAAACAUUUUCAUAAACCACUACAAGCACCUUAGAAGAGGUAAGUCGUAACAUGGUAAGUGUACUGGAAAGUGCACUUGGAAUAACAAAAUGUAGCUUAACAAAAGCCCCUCGCUUACACCGAGACGAUAUCUGUUAAACCCGGAUCAUUUUGAGCUGCAAAUCUAGCCUUUAACUACCUCAUGCAACUUCCAUUUAACUGUCUUUAAAUAAAACAUUUUUAACAUCUAGUAGAAGUGAUCGAAAAAUUCUUAUAGCGCUUCAGACACAGUACCGCAAGGGAAAGAUGAAAUAAAAUGAAAUAAUACCUAAGCCCCUAGUAGCAGAGAUUUACCCUCGUACCUUUUGCAUCAUGGUCUAGCUAGUUUAACCAAGCAAAAUGAAUUUUAGUUUGUCCCCCCGAAACUAAGUGAGCUAUUUCAAAACAGCCCUUGGGCCAACCCGUCUCUGUUGCAAAAGAGUGGGAAGAUUUUCAAGUAGAGGUGAUAAACCUACCGAACUUAGAGAUAGCUGGUUACUUAAGAAACGAAUAUAAGUUCGACCCUGAGCCUGCUAUUAAAUAAAAAACCUUCUCAGACUCAGGAUUUAUUCAAAUAAGGCACAGCUUGUUUGAAUCAGGAUACAACCUCGUACAAAGGGUAAAACUAUAGAUACAUACAGCAAGUAGGCCUAAAAGCAGCCACCUUUAAAAAAGCGUCAAAGCUUAGCACUAUAAGUCUCCUCAAUACCUCAAUUCUUCUUUAACCCUUCACCAUUAUUAAGUAACUCCAUAACCCUAUGGAAGCUAUUAUGCUAGAACUAGUAACAAGAAAAAGAUUUUUCUCCAAAAUGUAAGUUUAAGCCACAAUAGACUAUCUACUGGCAAUUAACGCAAAUGAACCUCAUUUAGCAACGCUUCAAGAAAACCCUAAAAUUUUUAGCGUUAACCUUACACUAGAGCAUUUAUGGAAAGAUUAAAAGGGGGGGAAGGAACUCGGCAAAUUUUGAUCCCGCCUGUUUACCAAAAACAUCGCCUCUUGACUAACUAUAAGAGGUCCAGCCUGCCCGGUGACAUAGUUUAACGGCCGCGGUACCCUAACCGUGCGAAGGUAGCAUAAUCACUUGUUCUUUAAAUGGGACUCGUAUCAACGGCAUCACGAGGAUCACACUGUCUCCCGCCCCUAAUCAGUGAAACUGAUCUCCCCCGUGAAGAAGCGGGGAUUUUUUUAUAAGACGAGAAGACCCCAUGGAGCUUUAAACCCGAUGACACCCCCGCCCUAUUUAGACCUACGCAUUCGUUGGGGACCUGUUCACUCGGUUUUAGGUUGGGGUGACCGCGGAGUAAAACAAAACCUCCACGAAGAAUGGGCUUACCCCCUUAUCCAAGAGAGACAUCUCUAAGAAUUAGUAAACUAACAUCUAAUGAUCCGAUUUUUUCGAUCAACGAACCAAGUUACCCUGGGGAUAACAGCGCAAUCCACUUCAAGAGCUCAUAUCGACAAGUGGGUUUACGACCUCGAUGUUGGAUCAGGGUAUCCCAGUGGUGCAGCAGCUACUAAUGGUUCGU